AGGGUGUCUAAAAAAAAACGCUAUGGAAAUUCAACAGGCUGUCGUGCAUCAUAAACGUGGCUAAACAAUUCAAUUUUUACAUAGGACAAAAGAACAGUUAUUUGGCUUUUCAAUGAUACUCUUUUUAAAUCGUAACGAUGAAAAAUGGCCACAUACUCGUCAAAUAAAAAUUGCCGGUCGAAAUCACAUUCUUCCACCGUUGGGAAUUGCAUGGAAAACGAAACAUAAACAAUUCCCAAGAGGGAAUUAAAAUUGAAUGUUAAAUUAUCUAAAAUGAGCUCAACUCGUC